rnacentral:rRNA from 1 species
UACAGAGGUCCCAAGCGUUGUUCGGAUUCAUUGGGCGUAAAGGGUGCGUAGGCGGCGCGGUAAGUCGGGUGUGAAAUCUCGGGGCUUAACUCCGAAACUGCAUUCGAUACUGCCGUGCUUGAGGACUGGAGAGGAGACUGGAAUUUACGGUGUAGCGGUGAAAUGCGUAGAUAUAGGAAGGAACACCAGUGGCGAAGGCGACCACCUGGACUGAUACUGACACUGAGGUGCGAAAGCGUGGGGAGCAAACAGG